rnacentral:rRNA from 1 species
GUGUCAGCAGCCGCGGUAAGACAGAGGGUGCAAACGUUGCUCGGAAUUACUGGGCGUAAAGCGCGUGUAGGCGGACCGGAAAGUCAGAUGUGAAAUCCCUGGGCUCAACCCAGGAACUGCAUUUGAAACUUCCGGCCUUGAGUGACGGAGAGGGAAGCGGAAUUCCUGGUGUAGAGGUGAAAUUCGUAGAUAUCAGGAGGAACACCGGUGGCGAAGGCGGCUUCCUGGACGUCCACUGACGCUGAGACGCGAAAGCGUGGGGAGCAAACAGGAUUAGAAACCCUUGUAGUCC